rnacentral:rRNA from 1 species
UACGAAGGGGGCUAGCGUUGCUCGGAAUUACUGGGCGUAAAGGGCGCGUAGGCGGACAGUUUAGUCAGAGGUGAAAGCCCAGGGCUCAACCUUGGAAAUGCCUUUGAUACUGACUGUCUUGAGUUCGGGAGAGGUGAGUGGAAUGCCGAGUGUAGAGGUGAAAUUCGUAGAUAUUCGGCGGAACACCAGUGGCGAAGGCGACUCACUGGCCCGAUACUGACGCUGAGGCGCGAAAGGCGUGGGGAGCAAACAGG